rnacentral:rRNA from 1 species
UACGGAGGGUGCAAGCGUUAAUCGGAAUUACUGGGCGUAAAGCGCACGUAGGUGGUUCGCUAAGUCAGCUGUGAAAUCCCCGGGCUCAACCUGGGACUUGCAGUUGAAACUGGUGAGCUAGAGUAGGGUAGAGGGGUGUGGAAUUCCAGGUGUAGCGGUGAAAUGCGUAGAUAUCUGGAGGAACACCGGUGGCGAAGGCGACAUCCUGGACCGGUAUUGACGCUGAGGCGCGAAAGCCAGGGGAGCAAACGGG